rnacentral:rRNA from 1 species
CUCAAAUGAAUUGACGGGGGCCCGCACAAGCGGUGGAGCAUGUGGUUUAAUUCGAUGCAACGCGAAGAACCUUACCUGGUCUUGACAUCCACAGAACUUUCCAGAGAUGGAUUGGUGCCUUCGGGAACUGUGAGACAGGUGCUGCAUGGCUGUCGUCAGCUCGUGUUGUGAAAUGUUGGGUUAAGUCCCGCAACGAGCGCAACCCUUAUCCUUUGUUGCCAGCGGU